rnacentral:rRNA from 1 species
AAAGCGGGGUAGGAGUACAAUAGGCAAAUCCGUUGUAUGAUCCGAAGACGUGAUGUGGAGCGAAAUAAAGUAGUGAAGCGUGUGAGCCAUGUGCCGAGAAAAGCUGCUAUUGUGUAAUGCGUGCCCGUACCGUAAACCGACACAGGUGGAUGAGGAGAGAAUCCUAAGGCCGACGGAAGAAGCAUUGUUAAGGAAUUCGGCAAAAUGACCCCGUAACUUCGGGAGAAGGGGUGCCUGCGAGAGCAGGCCGCAGAGAAUAGGCUCAAGCAACUGUUUAGCAAAAACACAGGUCUAUGCGAAACCGAAAGGUGAAGUAUAUGGGCUGACGCCUGCCCGGUGCUGGAAGGUUAAGAGGAGAGGUUAGCGUAAGCGAAGCUUUGAAUUUAAGCCCCAGUAAACGGCGGCCGUAACAAUAACGGUCCUAAGGUAGCGAAAUUCCUUGUCGGGUAAGUUCCGACCCGCACGAAAGGCGUAAUGAUUUGAGCACUGUCUCGACAAUGCAUCCGGUGAAAUUGAAGUUCCAGUGAAGAUGCUGGUCACCCGCGCCAGGACGGAAAGACCCCAUGGAGCUUUACUCCAGUUUGAUACUGGGAUUCGGUACUGCAUGUACAGGAUAGGUGGGAGACGGAGAAGGAUGGACGCCAGUCUGUCCGGAGUCGCUGUUGGGAUACCACCCCUGUAGUACUGGGUUUCUAACCAGUUACCAUGAUCUGGUAAUGGGACAAUGUCAGGCGGGGAGUUUGACUGGGGCGGUCGCCUCCGAAAGGGUAUCGGAGGCGCUCAAAGGUUCCCUCAGAAUGGUUGGAAACCAUUUGAAGAGUGCAAAGGCAGAAGGGAGCUUGACUGCGACACCGACGGGUGGAGCAGGUACGAAAGUAGGACUUAGUGAUCCGGUGGUAUAAAGUGGGAUUGCCAUCGCUCAACGGAUAAAAGCUACCCUGGGAUAACAGGCUUAUCACUCCCAAGAGUUCACAUCGACGGAGUGGUUUGGCACCUCGAUGUCGGCUCAUCGCAUCCUGGGGCUGUAGCAGGUCCCAAGGGUUGGGCUGUUCGCCCAUUAAAGCGGUACGCGAGCUGGGUUCAGAACGUCGUGAGACAGUUCGGUCCCUAUCCGGCGCGGGCGGAGGAUAUUUGAGAGGAGCUGUCCUUAGUACGAGAGGACCGGGAUGGACGGACCACUGGUGUAUCUGUUGUCGACCAACGGCAUGGCAGAGUAGCCAAGUCUGGAAGGGAUAAACGCUGAAGGCAUCUAAGCGUGAAGCCCCCCUCAAGAUGAGAUAUCCCUCCUUCGGUAGUAAGACCCCUUGAAGACUACAAGGUAGAUAGGGCAGAGGUGGAAGCAUGGCAACAUGUGGAGCUGACUGUUACUAAUAGGUCGAGGGCUC